AAUUUUAAUUUCUUCAUUCCGGUCGCGACGUCCUCCGUUGAUUUUAGAGGCCGGAGGUGGAAAAGUGUUCAAGUUUCGUUUUGUCUAAGUACUACUAAAAGUACUUCAUCUUUUAAUUUGACCAUUUAAGUGUUGAUAUAACAAUGUCUCGCUACCGAGAAUGGGAUCUUUCGUGCAAAGUGUAUGUGGGAAAUCUUGGAACAAAUGCAUCAAAAUAUGAAAUCGAGAAAGUGUUUUCAAAAUACGGCAACAUAAGAAAUGUGUGGGUGGCUAGAAACCCGCCAGGAUUUGCGUUUGUAGAAUUUGAAGAUCCACGUGACGCCGAAGAUUCUGUGCGAGGGUUGGAUGGCACCCGCUGCUGUGGUACCCGCAUUCGUGUAGAAAUGUCAAAUGGUCGCACCAGGAGAGAUCGCCGGUACUCCAGGUCCAUUUUAUCAACCAACCACCAACACACCAACGACCUCACCACAUGUCUUCACCACAACUACGGCUCGUUAACCAAUAUGACAUCAAACAACUUCUGCGAUCGGCUCUCCAAACUUCUGCGCGCAGCCGAAGUCAACAUCUGCGUCCCCAUAACUUACCUCCUGACCGCCAUCACCUAGCCCCCAACCGUUAAUCAAACCUGGACCUGAAUAAAAUGCAUUCUAGAGUGCCACACAGUAUAGGAACCAACAAACAUCCUGAAAGUCAUUGCAACUCCUAAUGCUUCACCGACUGCACACACUCGUCGUCACCGUGGCACCGAGCUAGAAAUACAACCUAAAGGCGACGACUUCCCCGUGUUCCGCAAUUUUUCUUGAAACUUCCGAUUAAUGCCACCGUUCGACGGAAGAUACAAUUGAAACUCGCCUCCGCCUCAGUAAUAUCCCUUCGGCCUCACAGCAGCCCCACAACGGUCGUCUUUCUUCGCAGGCUCACCAUGUCUCGAUCCCGCAGUCGCAGCCCGAGGAGGAGGUCGUACUCUCGCGGACGCUCGGGAUCCCCGCGCCGCUCGCCCUCCGUGCGCCGUCGAUCGCCAU